GAUUUGGAUCAGAUUGAGAAAAGAAUGGAGAAACUCAAAAAAGGUAGAGCUAAAGAUUCACAAGCUAAAGUAAAGGAGGAAGCAGAAAAGUCUGCCUUGGAGAAAAUACAACAAGCACUACUGGAUGGAAAACCAGCACGAUCAGUAUCUUUGUCGGAGUUUGAAAAGGAUGCUAUAACACAACUUUGUCUUCUAACAAUGAAGCCUGUCAUAUUUGUGGCAAAUGUAGCGGAAUCAGAGGUAGCUGAACCUGAAAAUAAUCCUCAUGUGAAGGAAGUAAUUAAAAAAGCUGCUGAGUUAAAUUCUGGUGUGGUAACUAUUUCAGCGCAGGUUGAGUCUGAGCUAUCUGAACUUCCUUUAGAAGAAAGAAUAGAAUAUUUGAAAUCGCUUGGUGUCAAUGAAAGUGGCCUUGGAAAUCUCAUCAGAGAAACUUAUGGUCUCCUAGGGUUGCGUACAUACUUCACUUCUGGCGAGAAGGAAACCAAAGCAUGGACCAUCCUCACAGGAAUGACUGCUCCUCAAGCAGCUGGGGUUAUUCACUCCGACUUUGAAAAGGGCUUCAUCAGGGCAGAGACGGUUGCUUACGAUGACUUUGUUUCUGCUGGUUCUUUUGCAGCUGCAAGGGAGAAAGGACUGUUGAGGUUAGAAGGAAAAGAUUAUGUUGUGCAAGAAGGGGAUAUAAUGCUGUUCCGGUUCAAUGUCUAAUUGAAAAACAGUUGGUGAAGGAGAUUUCACGAAUUUUUAUGUUGUGUUCACGGUUGUUUGAACCAUUCAGAUUUCUGAGACAGCAGAUUUUGCUACAAGAGGUUUAAUGGUGAAGCAUAUAAUUUAUGAGCUAGCCAGGUUUGUGAAUUUUAAGGCACUGCAACUGGUGCUGAUGAGAUAGAUUUAUGGUUUUCACUCAGCUGCUACAAAUCUCAAUUUUUGGCUCGUCAUGUAACAUUCAAUGUCCAUAGGUCAUUCGACUUUGUGUAAUAUUAUUGUAAUUCUUUCACUCCUUAUCACCCUCCCCAAUACGCCUUAGUUGGCUUCUGCAAUAUGAUUUUUGC
rnacentral:misc_RNA from 1 species